rnacentral:tRNA from 1 species
GGGUGUAUAGCCCAGUGGUAGAGCAUUCGACUGUAGAUCGAGAGGUCUCCGGUUCAAACCCGGGUGUACCUU